GUAUGGAGUGAGACAAUCCCUACACAGAUCAGGUGGGAAACAAAGCUUGAUUCUAUAAAACCCUGUGCUGUAGUUCCUUCACCCGCUCUGACUCACUGGAAGUGUUUGCACUGAUCCGCUUACGUCACUAAGACCACCACGGAUAGCUAUUCCAUUUACUCCAGUACCUUUUCCAGUGGACUGGGUCAGCGUGAGCAGGCCUUGUUGGAACAAUGUUUAUAAAAUCCUGGUGGCGGGGAGUCAGGGAGACAGCUGGGUGAUCUUCAGAAGAUACACGGACUUCUGCAGGCUCAGUGACAAGCUUCAAGAGCUUUUCCCCAGCUUUCAUCCAGCCCUGCCUCCUAAGCGCUGACUCAAAAACAGCUAUGACGAGGAGUUUCUAGAAGGGAGGAAAGCUGGACUGCAGACCUUUUUGGAGAACCUAGUGUUACACAAAGAAGUCCUCAGAAGUGAAGCUGCAAGACGCUUUCUGUGUUUGGUUGAAGCACCGAGUCCGUUUGACAGCCUGGAGGAAAGCAGGGUGAGGACACGUUUCUCUCAAAGAUAUUGUCUCAGGGGUUGAAUGUAAGGAACGUUGUGUAUCUCAAACACCCUCUGGCCUUUUGUGAGAGUCUCGAGGAAACUCACCUUCGUCUUCAGAGCGAACUCGCGGACAAGCAGAGAGAAGCCGACAGGCUGAAGAAGACUUUGGAGGAGAGAGAGAACUGUCUCAACCUGCUGCUAAAAGAAGCCAAAUCCCCGUCACUUUCUGCUGAGAGCUCUGAAGCUUCAACAAUCACCACCCCCAUAGACAGUGACACAGAGGACAUGCAGUGACUGACAUGGACAAAGAAACAAACUGUGACAGUAACAUGUGCAAGUGGUCAUCAGACAUCCUGCUGGUUCCUCUUAAACCCAAGUGCACAAGAAAGUCUAUGAUGUGACCACCGCAGUGCCGAAACAAUCAUCAGAUGCAGUUUAAUCCAACCCCUGCCAUGCAUAUGUUUAUUUGAUUCUUUUCAGGGUGUCACUAAGAGUACUACCUCAAAAUACCAAGCACAUAGAAGUCCCAUAAUGUGUAUUUACAGCAUAUUAUGCUGCCUAAUGAGGGGGGAAAAAAUCCCUAUUUAUUUUUUUAUUUCAAAGUAAUGUAUUCAAUUCAUAUCGAUGACAAUGUUUCAUUGAUCUUGAAUUUUAGUGAACACAAGCUCUUUUUGAAGCAUAGGAAAUUUGAAAAAACAGAACGACCACAAGGGGGCACUGUAACACAAUAACAGUUUGAGACAGCAAAGAUCUGAGUGAGAGGGACACUGGGAACUUGAUGUUCUGUUCUUAUCUCGCACGGGGAAAUCUCUGUAAGAUUUAAGUGCAGAGAAGCACAAAAGCAGGGGAGAGAUGUUUUCCUCUUCAGUAGUGAAUAACAGCUCGCAAUCAAUGAAGGAAGCCUGUGUGAAUGUGUGUGUGUGUGUGAGAGAGAGCUCCACAUCCAUCCAAGUAAAGCCUCAUUCAUGUGCCCCCGUUAUCACACUGAAUGGCCAUGUUGUUUCCUUUCACUCAUUCUGUUUGAGUCGCUGAAUAAACCAGAUAUGUGUGGCUUAUCCGAGGUCAUGAAGGCUACUUUUAUGCUGCCGCUGUGAGCAGGUUGGUGCUUAAUUAUUAGAUUUGUACAAUGAAAACAUUCGACUGGA